rnacentral:rRNA from 1 species
UCCGAAGGGGGCUAGCGUUGCUCGGAAUCACUGGGCGUAAAGCGCACGUAGGCGGACUCUUAAGUCAGGGGUGAAAUCCUGGAGCUCAACUCCAGAACUGCCUUUGAUACUGAGAGCCUUGAGUUCGGGAGAGGUGAGUGGAACUGCGAGUGUAGAGGUGAAAUUCGUAGAUAUUCGCAAGAACACCAGUGGCGAAGGCGGCUCACUGGCCCGAUACUGACGCUGAGGUGCGAAAGCGUGGGGAGCAAACAGG